CCUACGGGCGGCAGCAGUGAGGAAUAUUGGUCAAUGGCCGGAAGGCUGAACCAGCCAUGCCGCGUGAAGGUCAGUGCCCUAUGGGCGUUAAACUUCUUUUGUGCGGGAGCAAUUAUGGUCACGUGUGGCCAGACGAGAGUACCGUACGAAUAAGCAUCGGCUAACUCCGUGCCAGCAGCCGCGGUAAUACGGGGGAUGCAAGCGUUUUCCGGAUUUAUUGGGUUUAAAGGGUGCGUAGGCUGUGAGGUAAGUCAGCGGUGAAAUGCCCCCGCUCAACGGGGUGAAGUGCCAUUGAUACUGCCUGGCUGGAAUGCGGAUGCGGUGGGAGGAAUGUGUGGUGUAGCGGUGAAAUGCAUAGAUAUCACACAGAACACCGAUUGCGAAGGCAUCUCACGAGUCCGCGAUUGACGCUGAUGCACGAAAGCGUGGGUAUCAAACAGGAUUAGAUACCCUGGUAGUC
rnacentral:rRNA from 1 species